GACGAACGCUGGCGGCGUGCUUAACACAUGCAAGUCGAACGGAAAGGCCCUGCUUUUGUAGGGUGCUCGAGUGGCGAACGGGUGAGUAACACGUGAGUAACCUGCCCUUGACUUUGGGAUAACUUCAGGAAACUGGGGCUAAUACCGGAUAGGAGCUCCUGCUGCAUGGUGGGGGUUGGAAAGUUUCGGCGGUUGGGGAUGGACUCGCGGCUUAUCAGCUUGUUGGUGGGGUAGUGGCUUACCAAGGCUUUGACGGGUAGCCGGCCUGAGAGGGUGACCGGCCACAUUGGGACUGAGAUACGGCCCAGACUCCUACGGGAGGCAGCAGUGGGGAAUAUGGCACAAUGGGCGGAAGCCUGAUGCAGCAACGCCGCGUGCGGGAUGACGGCCUUCGGGUUGUAAACCGCUGUCGCCUGUGACGAAGCGUGAGUGACGGUAAUGGGUAAAGAAGCACCGGCUAACUACGUG
rnacentral:rRNA from 1 species